GAUGAACGCUAGCUAUAGGCUGAACACAUGCAAGUCGAGGGCCCGGCGCACGGGUGAAUAACGCGUAUCCAACCUACCAAUAACUAAGGGAUAACCCAGCGAAAGUUGGACUAAUACCUCAUGGUUCAGGACGGGGAUGACGUUGAUUAGCUUGUUGGCGGGGUAACGGCCCACCAAGGCAACGAUCAGUAGGGGUUCUGAGAGGAAGGUCACCGGCAUUGGAACUGAGACAUGGUCCAAACGCCUACGGGAGGCGGCGGUGAGGAAUAUUGGUCAAUGGACGCAAGUCUGAACCCGCCAAGUGGCGUGCAGGAGGACGGCCUAUGGGUUGUAAACUGCUUUUAUAUGUGGUUCGGUACCAUUUGAAUAAGGACCGGCUAAUUCCGUGCCAGCAGCCGCGGUAAUAC
rnacentral:rRNA from 1 species